CCUACGGGAGACAGCAGUAGGGAAUAUUGCUCAAUGGGGGAAACCCUGAAGCAGCAACGCCGCGUGGAGGAUGAAGGUUUUCGGAUUGUACACUCCUUUUGUUAGAGAAGAUAAUGACGGUAUCUAACGAAUAAGCACCGGCUAACUCCGUGCCAGCAGCCGCGGUAAUACGGAGGGUGCAAGCGUUACUCGGAAUCACUGGGCGUAAAGGGCGCGUAGGCGGGAUAGCAAGUCAGAUGUGAAAUCCUAUGGCUUAACCAUAGAACUGCAUUUGAAACUGUUAUUCUAGAGUAUGGGAGAGGUAGGUGGAAUUCUUGGUGUAGGGGUAAAAUCCGUAGAGAUCAAGAGGAAUACUCAUUGCGAAGGCGACCUGCUAGAACAUAACUGACGCUGAUGCGCGAAAGCGUGGGGAGCAAACAGGAUUAGAUACCCUAGUAGUC
rnacentral:rRNA from 1 species